rnacentral:rRNA from 1 species
AGUGAACGCUGGCGAUAGGCCUAACACAUGCAAGUCGAACGGCAGCACAGUAAGAGCUUGCUCUUACGGGUGGCGAGUGGCGGACGGGUGAGGAAUACAUCGGAAUCUACUUUUUCGUGGGGGAUAACGUAGGGAAACUUACGCUAAUACCGCAUACGACCUACGGGUGAAAGCAGGGGAUCUUCGGACCUUGCGCGAUUGAAUGAGCCGAUGUCGGAUUAGCUAGUUGGCGGGGUAAAGGCCCACCAAGGCGACGAUCCGUAGCUGGUCUGAGAGGAUGAUCAGACACACUGGAACUGAGACACGGUCCAGACUCCUACGGGAGGCAGCAGUGGGGAAUAUUGGACAAUGGGCGCAAGCCUGAUCCAGCCAUACCGCGUGGGUGAAGAAGGCCUUCGGGUUGUAAAGCCCUUUUGUUGGGAAAGAAAAGCAGCAGGUUAAUACCCCGCUGUUCUGACGGUACCCAAAGAAUAAGCACCGGCUAACUUCGUG